GACGAACGCUGGCGGCGCGCCUAACACAUGCAAGUCGAACGAGCGAGAGAGAGCUUGCUUUCUCGAGCGAGUGGCGAACGGGUGAGUAACGCGUGAGGAACCUGCCUCAAAGAGGGGGACAACAGUUGGAAACGACUGCUAAUACCGCAUAAGCCCACGGCUCGGCAUCGAGCAGAGGGAAAAGGAGCAAUCCGCUUUGAGAUGGCCUCGCGUCCGAUUAGCUAGUUGGUGAGGUAACGGCCCACCAAGGCAACGAUCGGUAGCCGGACUGAGAGGUUGAACGGCCACAUUGGGACUGAGACACGGCCCAGACUCCUACGGGAGGCAGCAGUGGGGAAUAUUGCACAAUGGGGGAAACCCUGAUGCAGCGACGCCGCGUGGAGGAAGAAGGUCUUCGGAUUGUAAACUCCUGUUGUUGGGGAAGAUAAUGACGGUACCCAACAAGGAAGCGACGGCUAACUACGUGCCAGCAGCCGCGGUAAAACGUAGGUCACAAGCGUUGUCCGGAAUUACUGGGUGUAAAGGGAGCGCAGGCGGGAAGACAAGUUGGAAGUGAAAUCCAUGGGCUCAACCCAUAAACUGCUUUCAAAACUGUUUUUCUUGAGUAGUGCAGAGGUAGGCGGAAUUCCCGGUGUAGCGGUGGAACGCGUAGAUAUCGGGAGGAACACCAGUGGCGAAGGCGGCCUACUGGGCACCAACUGACGCUGAGGCUCGAAAGUGUGGGUAGCAAACAGGAUUAGAUACCCUGGUAGUCCACACCGUAAACGAUGAUUACUAGGUGUUGGAGGAUUGACCCCUUCAGUGCCGCAGUUAACACAAUAAGUAAUCCACCUGGGGAGUACGACCGCAAGGUUGAAACUCAAAGGAAUUGACGGGGGCCCGCACAAGCAGUGGAGUAUGUGGUUUAAUUCGACGCAACGCGAAGAACCUUACCAAGUCUUGACAUCCCUUGACGAUGCUGGAAACAGUAUUUCUCUUCGGAGCAAGGAGACAGGUGGUGCAUGGUUGUCGUCAGCUCGUGUCGUGAGAUGUUGGGUUAAGUCCCGCAACGAGCGCAACCCUUAUGGUCAGUUACUACGCAAGAGGACUCUGGCCAGACUGCCGUUGACAAAACGGAGGAAGGUGGGGAUGACGUCAAAUCAUCAUGCCCUUUAUGACUUGGGCUACACACGUACUACAAUGGCGUUAAACAAAGAGAAGCAAGACCGCGAGGUGGAGCAAAACUCAGAAACAACGUCCCAGUUCGGACUGCAGGCUGCAACUCGCCUGCACGAAGUCGGAAUUGCUAGUAAUCGUGGAUCAGCAUGCCACGGUGAAUACGUUCCCGGGCCCU
rnacentral:rRNA from 1 species